CCCCGUGUAACCAAAAGAGCUAUCUCUGAAAAUUAGAAAAGCAAAUCAUGCCACACAUUUUUUUUUCAAAUAAAUAUAGUUGCCAAGUCAGAUCCAGGAAAAACAAUAGCAAGUCAUAAGUAAAACACACACACAGACACAGACACACACACACACAGCCUUAGAACAUGCUAUGUUAAUUAGCUACCUGGAAGACUAGAGGCAAAUGUGUUUGUUCUAUGCGCUGAACACUUAAAACGGAGAGGGAAAGGUGUCAGCUUGGGAAAGAGGAAUGUGGAAACAUAGCAAAGACAAUCUAAGAGGAGAGAGAGAAAGGAAACAAGAGGAAAGGAUUCGACAGAGGAAUUUCACAGCAGCAUAGAAGAAUCGAUCAGGAGUUUUGCUACCAAACAAUGGAGAAAAAAUACACAGAAGCCUAGGAAGCGACCUUGAUUAAAACGCCCACCAUGUGAAUGCUACUCAGCCGACACACUCAUUUUGCCUCUUAAAGUGAGAAAACUGGGAAUCCGAGAUAUUAACCAAGGGACACAAGAAUAAACAACUGGUAAAUGGUUGACCAGGCUAUAAACCCCAGAACUCUCCAACUUUCAUAUCCAGAAUGUUCUUACAAUGAGAAAAAUGUGAUUUUGAAUCAAGUCUUGAAUAAACUGAGAGUGAUCAAGUUGGGUAACACUAUUUGGAUAGAAAAAUAAAGGAUGCU
rnacentral:lncRNA from 1 species